UACGUAGGGUGCGAGCGUUAAUCGGAAUUACUGGGCGUAAAGUGUGCGCAGGCGGCCGCGCAAGUCGAGUGUGAAAGCCCCGAGCUUAACUUGGGAACUGCGCUCGAAACUACGUGGCUGGAGUGUGGCAGAGGAAGGUGGAAUUCCAGGUGUAGCGGUGAAAUGCGUAGAGAUCUGGAGGAACACCGAUGGCGAAGGCGGCCCCCUGGACAAAGACUGACGCUCAGGUGCGAAAGCGUGGGGAGCAAACAGG
rnacentral:rRNA from 1 species